UGUACACAUUUGCAAAAUGUUGUACAAUGGCAAUGAGCCAAUGACUUCAACUUUAGAGCCUCAAGGUUUUAUAUUUAUGAUUAAAUGGUCAAAUCUCAAAUAACCUUGUGGUGGCUUUUAUUGUGACAAAUAAUAUGUCAUCAUAUUAAUUAUUACACAAAUUGUACGCCUCCCUAUCUAAGUGGAUUCACAUAUUAUGUGUAAAGUAUUAAGCUAUUUCUGUCUUGUUUUUCCAUUUUGAAUCAUGCUUUACUGCAGUUGAUCAGGCAAUUGCAAGGCCAAGAUGGAGACAUAACAGGAGAAGAAGAACCUGCAACACCCAGAAAAAUAUUUCAGAUUUUAAACGAGACCAUUGAAGUUCUAUCUUCUGUAUCAUCGCAUGAACUGGCCCUGAGAUUGUAUCUGCACUGUGCUGAGAUGCUUUGCUAUUAAUGCUGGGAAAGCAUGCAACCGCUUAAAAUUUUGUGCC